AUGAUUCCCUUCCCCUCUCCCUGUAGGGAGCACAAUGGGAUUUUUCUCUGAUAUUUACAGGGAGAACCUGGAUAAUCUGGAGAUGAAUCUCACAAAAUUGUGGAGGCUCCCCUGUGACUGGGUACCCUGGAGUUUUUAACUCUCAGAGUUCCUUACACUGACCCUGAAGGAAUUACCCAAUUAUAGUUCAGGUUUUCCUACUCUGGCCUGGAUUCCUGUUGCAGUUUCCACUUGUGAAUCUCUGCUUUGGUUUAUGUUGGAGACGUUGUGGGUUUGGUUCCGGAGCACUGCAAUAAAGCAGAUGAUACAUGAUUUGUCUGCAAGUUUUUUCAUAUGGCAAGUCUCCAUAAAGUUUUCCAAUGUAUUUAUUAAAAAAUCUUCAUACAAAUGGACCCACAUUGUUCAAACCAGUGUUGAUCAAAGGUCAACCUUAAUAGUUCAACAUCAGUGGACGUAGCAGUGAAGAUAUUGAGGAACACAGGAUGCCCACUCACCAUUUUAAUCAACAUUGCAUGGGAGCUUUUAGUCAUUACAAUCAGG